GCCGGGAUAGCUCAGUCGGUAGAGCAGGGG
rnacentral:tRNA from 1 species